rnacentral:rRNA from 1 species
GAUGAACGCUGGCGGCGUGCCUAAUACAUGCAAGUCGAGCGAACAGACGAGGAGCUUGCUCCUCUGACGUUAGCGGCGGACGGGUGAGUAACACGUGGAUAACCUACCUAUAAGACUGGGAUAACUUCGGGAAACCGGAGCUAAUACCGGAUAAUAUAUUGAACCGCAUGGUUCAAUAGUGAAAGACGGUUUUGCUGUCACUUAUAGAUGGAUCCGCGCCGCAUUAGCUAGUUGGUAAGGUAACGGCUUACCAAGGCGACGAUGCGUAGCCGACCUGAGAGGCUGAUCGGCCACACUGGAACUGAGACGCGGUCCAGACGCCUGCGGUAGGCAGCAGUAGGGAAUCUGCCGCAAUGGGCGAAAGCCUGACGGAGCAGCGCCGCGUGAGUGAUGAAGGUCUUCGGAGCGUAAAACUCUGUUAUUAGGGAAGAACAAAUGUGUAAGUAACUAUGCACGUCUUGACGGUACCUAGUCAGAAAGCCACGGCUAACUACGUG